UCUCUUCAGAUUAAAGCUGCUAUUUAUAGCAGGAAGACUGGCAAUGACCACAGUGUAGAGGACUUUACUCUGAGGGUGAGGCACUUGGAUUUAGUUCAUCCUGGGUAGAACUGCUCCUCCUUCUCUAUGUCCAACACCCAACUCCAUUGAACAGGUCCAAAACCAUAUCAGCUGUUUUCUGCCUCUCUGCUCAACCACCACAACUGCCAUUGGGGGGGGCAUUUAGGAGAAUCAUCUGCUCAGAGUGAAGGAUAUUCAUAUCUAUCAAAGUACUGGACUUAUUUGUAUUUAGUGUUGGAAAAGAGAUCUCUGCCAGGAAGACCGAAUAUAGGAUCUAAAAUAAUCAUCAAUCACGUACAGGCCCACAGCCAAGCCAUUGAGAGACAAACCAAUGGGAAACAAAUUAGCUCAUGUACCUCAUGUGCUCCUGGAGCUUUCCCACAGUACCCCUUGGCCAGUGCUUGGACAAGGUAAUUUACCAUAUCUCUGAGUGUCCUACUCCCAAGGGGACAUUCAUCUUGCCUUCCUAGAAGCAGGUUGAGGUCUGGAGUUUCAUGUUUAUGGUCAUCAAAUAUAUUUUGGCUAGCAGAAUGAGAGGCACAGUUGUGUUUUCAGUAAACUCAUCCAUUACCUUGACUUCAGAGCUAUUGAAUUUAUACUACCUGAUGAAAAUAACCAAUUUCAAAUGACAGACAAACCUGAAAUAUGGUUAUACCAUCAGAGGUCUCCCUGUGACAGGAAAUAAAAAUCAAAUCAUCUGGGCAUUGUCAAGUAAAAUGAGAGUUAGUAAAAAAGAAAUAUAUAAUUUUAGAGUCAUCAAAUGAUGAAAUACUGGAAGGGAUAUCUCUUUAUUGAGGUUUGUUUUAAUACCAACCAGACUGUCUUUUCAAAAUCUGUGAAUCUCAUUAGGAUCAAAGUAGCCUGAAGGGCAUUUAUGGAAGAUUUUAAAGGCUGGUAUAGGGUUUGAAGAACUUAUAUAUAACUGUGAAUAUUUGAGGGAAAUAGUUGAUCAAAAGCCUCUAAAAUGUGAACCCCAAAGACCGAAAUUAAUAAAAGUAGUUAAGAGAUUUGGUUGUGAAUAAAGUGGGGAAAAAUUAACUAGAUAAAAAAAAUAUUUAUUGAUAAAAUACCUCUUAAAGGUAUGAUAACAUAUUUUAAAUCACGCUUUGUCUAAACUUCCUAAACCUGGAAAUAUCUAAGAAUAAGAGAAACUUCAUAAAGUAUUAAUUAUAGACCACAGCACUCUUUUUAGUAUUAGAACCUUUCUUUUUCCCAAUCUAUUCUCUAAUUAGGGAAACCAUGGCUGCCACUCUCUACUUAGAAAUCUACUCUUUUUUCUUCUAAUCCAUUAUAUGUAGUUGAACUAAAUAUACCAAAACACAUAUUUACAGAAAAUGAUCACAUUAUAAGGAAAAAAGUGGAGUGGAAUGUUGUGGAAUGUUGUAUUUUUUUUUUUCUGAUACAAACCACUACUUCAUGAUAGGUGCAAUCACUUCUUGUAUUUAUUUCCCUGCCUUUUAUUUCAUUUUGAAUUACUUUUUCUUGUGUUUUUGAUGAAAUUAAAUUUUAAUUAUUGGAUUGUUCAUCAUACAUGUUUGUUCUGAUCAUGGUCAUUAUGAUCUCAUAUAAGAGAAAUUACAAUGGACUUUAAAGGGUGCUAAUGGCAGCUUCUGGAAUAACCACUGAGGGUAUUAGUGGAGGUGGAAAAAAUCAGAAAGUUAAGACAGGCUCUAGAUUUAUGAUUUAUUUAUGUAUUUUAGAGAUUCUGAUCCAUGGGAAGAAAGGGCAGUGAAAUAUAAACCUUGGUCUUGAUGGAGAGAGACAAAGAGAGAGAGAGAGAGGGAGGGAAAGAGGCAGUGGGUGAAGGUUCAAGCACCAAUUAGAGAUUUAAAUUUAAAAUUUAAAUUUGAAGUAAAAAUAUAUUCAUAUAAUUUUUGAGCAAAAUCUAACAAUUUGGUAAAUUUAAGUCAAAUAUUUGCAUUAAAGAAUCUGUAAUGAUAUGCUGAAUAUCUGUUCUCUUCCAAGUCAAGUAAAUCAAAUUGGACAUUAAAGGACCACCAAAUAAGGAAUGACAUGAACGUCUAUUUUUAGACGUAGGUUAUUUAGAGUAGGUUAUUUAGAGUAUUUAGAGUAGGUUAUCACCACUGAAUUUGUACCUUGCCAUCAAGAAGACAUUCUAGCAAUAUUGUCUCUAGCCUUGGCGUAAUUGUAUUAGUUGUCAUUUAGUCACAUUUUUGUUUUUCCUCACAUGUGAUUUUGUUUCAGAAAAUGUCUUCCAAUAUAAAACAUACCAAGUUACUCUUUGGAUGGCAAUGACAAAAAACUUGAAUGGAGUGUAGCACAGUUUCGUGUAGCACCUCAUCCCUGAAGUGACAAUCUCGGUUCAGGUCUUCAGUCUUUCUUGCCUGGUUUAUUGCAAUCACUGGGCUCUUUUCCAUCCAGGCAUCCUCCCUCCACCUCCACUGGCUGCCAUAUUGAUUUUUCAAAAUGUAAAUAUGAUUAUGUCACUCUUGUUGAGAAAGUUUUUAAGAGAUGGCUUAUAACCUACAAGAUAAUAGAACAACUGAGAUUGGCAUGCUGGGCUCUUCAGGGCUCAGCUUCGUCUCCCUCCACUCUUGAUCCUCUCCACAUUGGCUUUGCCCCAAACAUAUCAUGUCAAGCUGAUUCCUUGACUGGGGCAGCUCUUUAUCCUUGCUGUUCACUGAAAGCUCACUCUCCCUUCAAGUUCAAAUGUUAACUUUUCCAGUUCACUGAGUAAUACCAUUAGGCACUCCCUUUUCUCUCUCUGGCACCUAAUAUGUAAACCUUUUAGACAUCAGUUAUUACUGUUUUGAACUUCUUGCUAGUACAGCACUUUCAUAUACAGGCCCUUUAAUAAUCGCCUGCUGAAAAAAGGGCCGGUUGAUAAGACAAAUAGCUUCUCCAUAAACAUCAAGGCCAUGGGAUGUUUUAUUGCUGUGUUCCAGCAGGCUACUGAAAACUUUUGAGAUCACACACAUAAUAUACUUGAUUUCCUCAUAUGACCAGAAAUUCUAUGACCAGAUCUUGUCCCACAAUGGAAAGUCCUCUGAAGACCAGGUUAUCUGUGGAUGGUUCACUCUAGUUUGAAAACAUUUUAAAACUUAAAGGAACUCCUUUAUUAUAUGCCCAAGAGAAAUCAAGACCAGAGAGGUAAAGACAAUUUCCUGGAAUAACAGCUAAAAUGAAUGAUGGGACAGAACUAAAACAAACUGUCCAGAUACCCAGUCAGAUAAUCCUUAUAAUAAUAUAGGAAGAUCUUCAGCAGGCCAAGAAAUGAACCAAAAUAACCCCCCAAAUCCAUGAAUAGUACUAUGUUAAUAACUAUAUGUUAUUAAAUACCUACCAUCACUAUGUUCAAGACAUCAUACUAGGUGUUAUGGGUACUAAAACAAAUAGCCCAUGGAGUCUGCUCUUCAAGUAUUCAUGCUUCAGCUCUUACCUGUCUCCUUUCUCUCCCCUUACCAUUUACUCUUCCUCUCUACCUAAGGAGACUCUCUCAGAGGGGCUUCAGCUAAAUCCUCUGAGUGAGUUAAGAGAUGGAGGAAAACAAACAUGGGAUGGGGCAUUGUAGGUUACACUCUACCUCCAAGCUUUGAGGUCCUGGUAGUGACUUCAUCUUUCUGAGCAUCAGUUCAUAAAUAUAAAUAGUCACAGUGAUUCCUACUCUGUCUCUGCAUAAGCCAUUUUAAGAAGCAAAUGAUGGCUAUGCUGUAUUUCAAAGCCAUUGGCUUUUGAGCCUUGAUGGUUGGUUUGAAUCUCUGCUCUAUUACUUCUUAGGUGUGGGAAUGUGUCUUCUCAUGUUCAAAAUGUGGUUAUAUUAUCCACCUUAUCUUGUUAGGGUUAGCAAUACUGUUUUAAAUAAGUUUAUUUACCUAUUUUGAGACAGAGAGAGAGAGAGAGAGCAAGAGAGAGAGCAUGAGCAAGUGGGGGAGGGGCAGAGAGAGAAGGAGAGAGAGAAUCCCAGGCAGGCUCCACACUGUCAGCAGAGAGCCUGAUAUGGGGCUGGAACUCACAAACCCUAAGACCAUGACGUGAGCCAAAGUCAGAUGCUUAACCUACUGAGCCACCCAGGCAUCCCUAGGGUUAGCAAUGUUGUAAGUACAGAUAAAGGUCUGACCUUUAAGACAUUAUCAAUUAAUGUAAGUCUUAUUCUCGUUAUUGUUUUCAGAUAUGUUUAAGGGUACUUCAUCUGUCUGAAAAUUCUGUAGACACUUAAGAAAUUAUUUCCCCCAGACACAUGCAGACUAAAGCGUGCUGUUUAUGAGAUGACUGGCAUACUAGUGGUGUUAGAAUUUUUCCCAUAAUUGCACACCUUUGCUACAAAGAUCAGCAAAGAUGCUGGAUACACAGCAAUGGCCGGGAGCCUGAGGCUAUGUGAAAUGAGGGCUACUCUGGAGUAAAUUGUCAUUUUCAAAAAAUAAAGAAUGAGUCAGACCAUGCCUAAUUCCACAGGAAAGAGAUUAGUUGCAGCAGAAAACAUGUGGAGUUAAUUUGGUUAGAAAGGAAAUAUUAACAUCUUGAAUUCCACAAAGACUCCUUCCCUUGGAGUUUGUUGGAUGAUUUACAGAGCUCGUUUAUAGAUCUUCAUAAAUGCAGUGGGUACAUAAUAAAAGGGCAAAUCAAGGAUGACUAUUGUUACAGUGACUGUGUUUUAUGUACAUUCAAAACCUUAUCCCACAUAUGUAGCCUUUACUGAUACAGAGCCUAGGGAUUUUUGAGGGAAUUAAAACAAGAAGUGAUAUUUACAUAAUGUUCUUUCGAGUUCCAUUUUGGCUAAAUUUUGAAAUCUGAUUUUAGAAUAAUGUAUACUUGGAAUGAGUCAGAAUAGUAUGUUUCUACAAUAUGGAAGUCAGCUGCAGCUGGAAUAAAUGGAUCUUACGCUAAUUUAGGGUCCCAAAUGACAGCUAAUUUUUUGUCAUUCAGAACUUGAAAUUUGCUUUUUGUAAUAGUUCCUGAAAUUACAAUGAAUUUUCAUAGUUUUGGAGAUCCUUGCCUUCAUCAUUUUUAUUUUCUUUCAUGCUUGACAUAGGAAGAAUGGAAUAUGUUUCUAUCCAAUUCUAUCUGUAGGCUCAUCCCCUAAGCCUCUGUUUUACUUUGCUUUUUACUUUUUGCUUUGGGACUUUUCUUUCUUUCAAACCUUAGACCGAAGUUGUCCUUCUUCAGGUACAUCAUCAACAUUUUUUAAAAAGAAACUUCUGCAGGUGAUUGUAAAAGGAUGCUUAAAGAUACAAUACUGGAACAUAAAUAAAUUAGGACCUUAGAGAUAACCAAAUCAGGACCAAUAUGUGAUAAUUUAGUUCAUCACUAAAACUAGUUACACACAAAAAUAAUUAUCUAAUUUUUCUUACAUUUUCCAAAUAUUUUUCUACAUUAUCUGAAUACCUUAGCAUUCUUUUAUGUAGGUCCAGGGUAAUUAAAUUUUUUACUGGAUUUCUUUGUUUUCAGGAAUACAUUUUUCACUUGUAGAAUGCUUCUUUGCAAACAGUUUGAAAUUAAUUUUGUUAUAAUCAAGAAAUGUAUCUCUUUAAAACUUUAAAAAUAUAGACUGAUGUUAUUUUUUUUCUUAAGCUCCUGAAGUUUAAAAUCUAAAACUCUCAGAAAAGUAUAUUUCAAUUGCAUUAUGCAAUGGUGUAUGUGUGUGUAUAUAUAAUAUAUAUGUAUAUAUUUAUAUAUAUAAUAUGCAACUAUAUAUUCAUACUAUACACAUACACAAAGGUAUAUAAAUGAUUUGGAAAUACUCACAAUUAAAAAUAAAUGGUUUUAAAAUUAUAUUUAUGUCAAUCACAACAAUUUUGCUUUACUAUGAAUUCUCAAAUUAAACCUUAAACAAUGGUUACUUUUUAUUAAUGAUUACGAAUCAGGCAAUACACAGUGUCCUUCACACAUAUUCAUUCUUCAUAAAAACCCUAAGUCUUAUGAAUUAUCCUUAUUAAAACCAAGCUCAGGGACAAAGUAAUUCAAGGUCAUAAAGCUUCUGAAAGGCAGAACAAGGAUUACAUUAACUAUUGACCUUAAUCAUGACACUGUUUGUUGUUGUUGUUUGUUUUGUUUUGUUUUUACAUGAACUGUCUUAUCUUAAUCAAAGGGAAGCAAUUGAAAACACUUUUAGAAACUCAAAAACAGGAGCAAUAUGCCCAUAUGGUUUAUAUCAAUAAUACAUAAUGAACAAUAAAUAUAGCGAUUCCUCAUUUUAAGCAAAGAUAUUAUUUCAUGAAACAGAAAUAUCGGAUUGGGAUUAAUACUUCUACAAAUGGUAUCACUGUUGGUAUUUCUCAGAUGGCCAUUAGGAUCUAGGUGGAAAAAUUAAACCGUGUUAGGUUAAUUGAUACAGGAAAAAUGGUCAACAAGCUGCAAAUGAGGCCACCCAGAAAUUAACAACAGCAGGAAGCUGUUGUCACCCUCGUUCUGGAAGGGCACUAAGAACAGGUGGCCUUACCAGCUUCCAGAAAUCAUGGCUGCUUCACGGCUGCUGCAGUCAUGAUGGAUGGGCUGUGGUCAGGAGCUGGAGCCUCAGAGGAACCAAUGACAGCCAGAGACACCACAAGAGCAGAGAGAAGGGGAAUAUCCCGGCUUCUCCUUCAUCUGCCAUUCCCAUCAUUGGUUCCAGCUUCCCAUUGCAGACCCCACUGGAAGUAAGAGUGCAAGGGCUGCACCCUAAAAUCGAGUUUCCUGUAAAAUGCAGCAAAACAGAAGGGAGAAUAUGGAUAUUAGAGAAGACAGUUCAACUAUCCUCCCUCCUUCUCAGCCCACCACCCUCUAACGGGAUGGUUUUGGAUAAAUCGAACUAUUACAAAACUGUUUCCUUAUGUAGAAAAACAACAACAACAACACAUUACUCCUUAUUUCUGCCUCACAGGAUGAUUUGAGAGAAGUAAAUGAGAUGGUGAGUUUGAAUUCUUCAUCUAUAGGAAGCCCCAAAUAAAUGCAAAUUUUACUACGUUUGUAUGCAAAAAACAUAAAAAUUCUUGCUCUAUUGAUAAAUUAGCUGUAGCAACCAUUUCCAAUGCAAUUAUACACACA